GGGUGAUGAAGAGAGAAACAGAUGAAGAGGAGACAGGUACAGGGAGAAGAGAGAGGGUGAUGAAGAGAGAAACAGAUGAAGAGGAGACAGGUACAGGGAGAAGAGAGAGGGUGAUGAAGAGAGAAACAGACGAAGAGGAGACAGGUACAGGGAGAAGAGAGAGGGUGAUGAAGAGAGAAACAGAUGAAGAGGAGACAGGUACAGGAAGAAGAGAGAGGGUGAUGAAGAGAGAAACAGACGAAGAGGAGACAGGUACAGGAAGAAGAGAGAGGGUGAUGAAGGGAGAAACAGAUGAAGAGGAGACAGGUACAGGAAGAAGAGAGAGGGUGAUGAAGGGAGAAACAGAUGAAGAGGAGACAGGUACAGGUAGAAGAGAGGGUGAUGAAGGGAGAAACAGACGAAGAGGAGACAGGUACAGGGAGAAGAGAGAGGGUGAUGAAGGGAGAAACAGACGAAGAGGAGACAGGUACAGGUAGAAGAGAGGGUGAUGAAGAGAGAAACAGAUGAAGAGGAGACAGGUACAGGGAGAGAGAGGGUGAUGAAGGGAGAAACAGACGAAGAGGAGACAGGUACAGGGAGAAGAGAGAGGGUGAUGAAGGGAGAAACAGAUGAAGAGGAGACAGGUACAGGGAGAAGAGAGAGGGUGAUGAAGGGAGAAACAGACGAAGAGGAGACAGGUACAGGAAGAAGAGAGAGGGUGAUGAAGGGAGAAACAGAUGAAGAGGAGACAGGUACAGGAAGAAGAGAGAGGGUGAUGAAGGGAGAAACAGAUGAAGAGGAGACAGGUACAGGUAGAAGAGAGGGUGAUGAAGGGAGAAACAGACGAAGAGGAGACAGGUACAGGGAGAAGAGAGAGGGUGAUGAAGGGAGAAACAGACGAAGAGGAGACAGGUACAGGUAGAAGAGAGGGUGAUGAAGAGAGAAACAGAUGAAGAGGAGACAGGUACAGGGAGAAGAGAGAGGGUGAUGAAGAGAGAAACAGAUGAAGAGGAGACAGGUACAGGAAGAAGAGAGAGGGUGAUGAAGAGAGAAACAGACGAAGAGGAGACAGGUACAGGAAGAAGAGAGAGGGUGAUGAAGGGAGAAACAGAUGAAGAGGAGACAGGUACAGGGAGAAGAGAGGGUGAUGAAGGGAGAAACAGAUGAAGAGGAGACAGGUACAGGGAGAAGAGAGAGGGUGAUGAAGGGAGAAACAGACGAAGAGGAGACAGGUACAGGUAGAAGAGAGGGUGAUGAAGGGAGAAACAGAUGAAGAGGAGACAGGUACAGGAAGAAGAGAGAGGGUGAUGAAGGGAGAAACAGAUGAAGAGGAGACAGGUACAGGUAGAAGAGAGGGUGAUGAAGAGAGAAACAGACGAAGAGGAGACGGGUACAGGGAAAGAGGGGGUGAUGAAGAGAGAAACAGACGAAGAGGAGACAGGUACAGGAAGAAGAGACAGGGUGAUGAAGGGAGAAACAGACGAAGAGGAGACAGGUACAGGUAGAAGAGAGGGUGAUGAAGAGAGAAACAGAUGAA